AGAGGUGGCAAGCGUUGUUCGGAAUUACUGGGCGUAAAGGGCGCGUAGGCGGCCUUCUUAGUCGGACGUGAAAUCCCCAGGCUCAACUUGGGAACUGCGUCCGAUACUGGAGGGCUUGAGUGCGGGAGAGGGAUGUGGAAUUCCAGGUGUAGCGGUGAAAUGCGUAGAUAUCUGGAGGAACACCGGUGGCGAAGGCGGCAUCCUGGACCGACACUGACGCUGAUGCGCGAAAGCUAGGGGAUCAAACGGGAUUAGAUACCCCGGUAGUCCUAGCCCUAAACGAUGAGUGCUUGGUGUGGCGGGUAUCGAUCCCUGCCGUGCCGAAGCUAACGCAUUAAGCACUCCGCCUGGGGAGUACGGUCGCAAGGCUG
rnacentral:rRNA from 1 species